rnacentral:lncRNA from 1 species
GGAGUUGUAAUCGCUGGCCCAUUUGGAGCCAGUUCCAGGGACCCCAUCUCUUAUCAACAAAGUGACUGAGGAUUGUCUUUAAGAAAAACUGCCAAGUCACCUACCCAGAGCAUGUGUAGAAGAAGAAAUUGUGACCUGAAACAGCCUCGGGACUAAAGAUCCACCUCCCCACAGAACCCAAGGGCCAGGACACAACCAGAACUUGAAAGGGGAGAGGCAACAAAAUAGCUCUCUUACAGGCUUCACCCCAGGAACGAUCCCUGUCGGCAUCUACUCUCCCUCCACUGGCCAGAGCAAGUGCAUGACCGGUCCUAACAUCAAGGGCAUCAGAAGUUCAACCCUACCUCGUACCUAGAAGGAGAAAUGGAAAUGUCACUGAACAGCUCAGAAACUCAGGGAUGUUGAGGACUUUGCUGAAAGUUGCCCAGAUGUUACAUGGCAUACCUGGCAUUUGAAGUCAGGUCUUUUCACCAUUAAGGCCCUGCUCCUUUCAUAAGCCAUGCUACCCCCUGCGAUGGAAAACAAACAUAACAAGUUAGAUCCAGCAAUGACACCAGUUAAAGAGAGGCCAAGUGAUUGAGG